ensembl:misc_RNA 7SK 7SK RNA
GGAGGAAUGUUCCCAUUGUGACAUCUGUGGCCCCAUGGAUGGCCAGGGUGGAUUGCUGGGCAGGUGUCCCCUCUCUGUCAUACUGUUCUGUUCAUGCCACCUCUUAAGCUACAGGACAAGUGUAGAGGGAGCCAAGGUGGAAGAAGACAACCUUCUCAACUAGAUGAGGUGUAGUCUUCAGUGGAGGCUGCCUGAGUAGUUGGGUUCCUUGCAAGAAUCUCAUAACCUGCCUGGGACCCAGUUUCUUUAUUCAUAACACGUGGAGAUUAGACAGAUCUCUUUGACUUGUUUGCCCAUGUGCUGCCUCAGAGUCCUGGUGCAGCGGCAU